GACGAACGCUGGCGGCGUGCUUAACACAUGCAAGUCGAACGGAAAGGCCCUGCUUUUGUGGGGUGCUCGAGUGGCGAACGGGUGAGUAACACGUGAGUAACCUGCCCUUGACUUUGGGAUAACUUCAGGAAACUGGGGCUAAUACCGGAUAGGAGCUCCUGCUGCAUGGUGGGGGUUGGAAAGUUUCGGCGGUUGGGGAUGGACUCGCGGCUUAUCAGCUUGUUGGUGGGGUAGUGGCUUACCAAGGCUUUGACAGGUAGCCGGCCUGAGAGGGUGACCGGCCACAUUGGGACUGAGAUACGGCCCAGACUCCUACGGGAGGCGGCAGUGGGGAAUAUUGCACAAUGGGCGGAAGCCUGAUGCAGCAACGCCGCGUGCGGGAUGACGGCCUUCGGGUUGUAAACCGCUUUCGCCUGUGACGAAGCGUGAGUGACGGUAAUGGGUAAAGAAGCACCGGCUAACUACGUG
rnacentral:rRNA from 1 species